rfam:Ovis aries breed Texel chromosome 13, whole genome shotgun sequence.
UCCCUGGUGGCUUAGAGGGUAAAGCAUCCACCUGUGACGCGGGAGACCCGGGUUCAAUCCCUGAGUUGGGAA